UAACAAGGAUUCCCCUAGUAACUGCGAGUGAAGCGGGAAAAGCUCAAAUUUAAAAUCUGGCGGCUUUUUGCUGUCCGAGUUGUAAUCUGGAGAAGCGUUUUCCGCGCCGGACUGUGUACAAGUCUCUUGGAACAGAGCGUCAUAGAGGGUGAGAAUCCCGUCGAUGACACAGACCGCCGGUGCUUUGUGAUACGCUCUCGAAGAGUCGAGUUGUUUGGGAAUGCAGCUCAAAAUGGGUGGUAAGCUCCAUCUAAAGCUAAAUAUUGGCGAGAGACCGAUAGCGAACAAGUACCGUGAGGGAAAGAUGAAAAGCACUUUGGAAAGAGAGUUAAACAGUACGUGAAAUUGUUGAAAGGGAAACGCUUGAAGUCAGUCGCGUCUUGCUUGACUCAGCCUUGCCUCGGCUUGGUGUAUUUCAAGUAGGACGGGUCAACAUCGAUUUUGGCCGGCGGAAAAGGGGGAGGGGAAUGUGGCACUCUUCGGAGUGUGUUAUAGCCUCUUCUCGUAUGCGUCGGUGGAGAUCGAGGCCCGCAGCGCGCCCUUGUGGCCGGAGGUUCGCCUCACGUAACGCGCUUAGGAUGUUGGCAUAAUGGCUUUAAGCGAC
rnacentral:rRNA from 1 species